AUCUUAGAGAAUUCGUCCUUUUACGAAAUGUACUUUGUUCGAUCUUAAGGAAUUCAUCCUAUUGAGAAACGUAAUGUAAAGGCGGAUUGUUCGAUACCUUUACGUUACAUUUCGUAAAAGAAUGAAUUCCUAAGGAUGGAACAAUCCGCCUUUACGUUAUAUUUCGCAAAAGGACGAAUUCCUUAAGAUAA